CGGAGUGUAGCUCAGCCUGGUAGAGUGCUGCGUUCGGGACGCAGAGGUCGUGGGUUCGAACCCCGCCACUCCGACCA
rnacentral:tRNA from 1 species